GCUGGUUCAUAUACUGAUUUUGUUACAACCUUCAGGAUAUUAUUGUUUCAAAUGAUAUUGAAGUUGCCAUUCGGAAAAUGUAGUUAUCGCUGGAAUGAGAUGUCACAAAUAAACUUAAUAUUAUGGUUAGCAUUUAUUCUGAGUACUAAACUCACUCUGCCAUGUUUAACUGAUAGAUGAUAUAUUAUUGAAUGUAAGAAGUAACCGCUGUGUUAUUUUAAACAAGAAUUAGUUGUUACAAGUCCUGUACUCCCUAUAGUAUUGUCAACGAUAACUAGUUGUUAAAAGCACUCUUUAGGGUAUUGUCAACAAGGGUUAGCUGUUACAAGUACUGUACUCUCUAUUUUUGCAUUGUAAACGAGAGCCAGUUGUUAGAGGUCCUGUGCUGUUCAUGGUAUUGUCAACGACAGUUGUUCAUUUUAAAAUGAGAUCGAUAUUAUAAAGUCAGUACAGUGUAUAUAAAUUAGGUGCUAUUACUAGAGAUAUUGUACAUGUUUGUCAUCAGCAUAUGACGUGUUAUAAACAGCCUCCAUAUUAAUUUAGAUACAAUUAUUGCUUCUAUAUCAAUAUGGAGAUAAUUUAUAUCACAGACUGUUUGUUUAUGUAUUGUCUUAAUUUAUUUCUUAAUUUGUCUUACAGAAGAGAGGGAAGUUGUAAUUCGAAAAUAUGUUAGUUUUCGCCAGAGUUGCAUGUCAUUAAUAAACUCAGUAUGUGUUUGUUAAUAUGAAUUCCGAGUAUGAAAUAGUCAUUUUGUUAGCUGGCAGAUAUUCAUCUCUGUGUUAUUGAUAACAACAGCUGAAUGCUAACAGUAUUACUUCGUGUUGUAUUCAGAAUAAUUGUUUAAUGUAAUAAACGUAUUCUCCAAGACAUUA
rnacentral:lncRNA from 1 species